ACUAAAAAAACAAUAGAUUCAGAGAAACCGUUUUCGCCCACUAUAACGAUUCUGGUCACAAAGCAGAGCUGGUGCCGCCUAUCUGUCAGCACUCCGCUUUACACGCUGGGUUUGUUGAUUAUAAAAUGGUGACAGUCCCAAAUAUCUGUCCCCCGAAAUAAUGAAGUUGAAACACAUGAAAGAAAGUAAUCGAAGUGAUGUUUCGCUACGUUAUACUUUGAAAGAGAGACAUCUCUUCGCCUGCUGGAGCCCGACGGGUGCGCAAGUGGAACGAGACGCCCGGGAGGGCGAUGCGCACGGGUUAUGCCGAGAUGAUGCCGCUUUUGCCACAUGCGCGGAACCAGUGAUGUGAACAGACGGCUUUUAGCCCCCAUUCACCGUACAACAGCCGAGAGAGUGUUGAACAUGAAACACCUGAGGUCAGAUUUGCAGAAGUGCUGAGCACUCACAACUUCACCUGAAGUCAAUUGACACUGUAUUUUGAGCAUAUAAUGUCCUAUUAAAAUGGUUCUCAAAAGCAACUAAACAGUUUGGACUCACCAUCAGUCUGGAAAAAAACGAAGUCCUCUUCCAAACAGUCCCAUCAACCACUAUCACAGAGCAAACGUCACCAUUGAUAGUACAAAACUAAUGCACAUCAAUCACUUUACAUACCUUGGCAGUACCAUCUCAAGUGACAGUUGCUUGGAUCAAGAAAUAUCAAAUAGAAUCUGAAAGGCAAGCCUGGCUUUUCGAAGACUUCGCUAUAGGAUACUCAGCUGUAUACCAACAAACUGUCAAUAAAACUGAGGUACAAUUCAGCUGUCAGAGCAUCUCUUUUAUACAGACGUGAAACAUGGAUAAUUUACCCCAGACACAUCAAACAACUUGAAAAAUUUCACAUGUGCUGUGUUUGCUCUGUUUUGAAGGUCCAAAAGUGUAAAUCAUUAUCAUCCUGGAAAGAACAAAACCAACCAGCAUUGAGGCAAUGAUCAGGAAAACUCAGCUUAGAUGGACAGGUCAUGUUAUCAGAAUGGGUGGUGAUUGAGUCCCACAAAAAGUCCUCUAUGGUAAGCUGAAACUCAGACAGCACAGAAAUAGUGGUCAACAUAAACACUUGAAAGACGCCCUUACGUAGAAUCUCAACUUGCGUGACAUGGAUAUAGAUAACCUUGAAGACACAGCCCAGGACAGAACUGAAUGGAGAGCAACUAUCAAUAAAGAAUAUAAACACUUUGGGAAAACAGACAUGAAAAAAUGAUUGAAAAAAGGGCUAAGCGCUAUGUCAAGUCUUCAACAGGAGCCUACACAUGCCUACAUAUGUAUUAUUAUAUGUGAGAUGCUGUGAUGUCAUUUUUAGAUAUGAUGGACAGGUGUACAAUGUUGCUUAUUAUGGGUAAAAUUUUCAAACGUGCCUAAGUGACGUGGGAUAUGUCUACGUGCGCAGGUGCCAACUCCGUGGGUGCUCUGCAGGGCAGGAGUCCUGGGGGCGGGGCCGGGCCACAACCCCCUCGUGGGGUGAGGAGGGAAC